UGGGGAAUUUUGGACAAUGGGCGAAAGCCUGAUCCAGCAAUGCCGCGUGUGUGAAGAAGGCCUUCGGGUUGUAAAGCACUUUUGUCCGGAAAGAAAUCCUUGGCUCUAAUACAGUCGGGGGGAUGACGGUACCGGAAGAAUAAGCACCGGCUAACUACGUGCCAGCAGCCGCGGUAAUACGUAGGGUGCAAGCGUUAAUCGGAAUUACUGGGCGUAAAGCGUGCGCAGGCGGUUUGCUAAGACCGAUGUGAAAUCCCCGGGCUCAACCUGGGAACUGCAUUGGUGACUGGCAGGCUAGAGUAUGGCAGAGGGGGGUAGAAUUCCACGUGUAGCAGUGAAAUGCGUAGAGAUGUGGAGGAAUACCGAUGGCGAAGGCAGCCCCCCUGGGCCAAUACUGACGCUCAUGCACGAAAGCGUGGGGAGCAAACAGGAUUAGAUACCCUGGUAGUCCACGCCCUAAACGAUGUCAACUAGUUGUUGGGGAUUCAUUUCCUUAGUAACGUAGCUAACGCGUGAAGUUGACCGCCUGGGGGAGUACGGUCGCAAGAUUAAAACUCAAAGGAAUUGAC
rnacentral:rRNA from 1 species